rnacentral:tRNA from 1 species
GCGAGCCUGGCCGAGCGGUUAGGCGGCGCCCUUCCAAGGCGUAGAGGCGGGUCCGACUCCCGCGGCUCGCUCCA